rnacentral:rRNA from 1 species
UUGAGGGUCCUAAAGGGCCGUUGGAGACCACAACGUUGAUAGGUGGGGUGUGUAAGCGCAGUGAUGUGUUGAGCUAACCCAUACUAAUUACCCGUGAGGCUUAACCAUACAACACCCAAGAAGUGUUCUG